rnacentral:lncRNA from 1 species
CGAGCAACAGAUACCCGUGGUUCGCGCCGCCUCCGACCUGGUCCUUGCAGCCUUUUUGGCCCUGCACAUCCUGUUUGCUUACACGCUUUUGUUGAGAGCCUACUGUGUGCGAAGGCUUGUCGGAGAGACCAGGGCCGUUGAGGCACACGAUCCAGGAAGAGAGAAGAGACUAGUCUAUUGCAGAACAACGCUGAGGGCCAAAAUAGAAGCGGCACAAGCCCCACAGAAUUAAGACCAACUCUGGGCAAAAUAGUGAAGCAAAGGAAGGAAAGAAAAGGGAAGAAGAAAGGAACAUGGAUUGAGAAGGCCUGCUGUGUUCCAGGUACUGCUUCAGGGUUUUACAUGCAUUGUUUCAUCUAAUCUUCAAAACCAAUCUCAGAUACAGGUAUUAUUUCCUUUUACAUAACAUAAAGACAAGACUCAAAGAGUUUCAGAGCAUCUGUGAUUACCCUGCCCCUUCAUUCCACUGUGAAGUUGCCCUUCCUGUUGCUGUAUCAUCUUGCCUUCCUUAGAGUUUUCUUUCACAAACUUUUUACCAUAUCUGUUCAGUCAUCCUUGCCUCCAUUUUUAUGGAUCCUGUUUUUACC